UUAAUAUUAAACACGUUCUUAGCGCAAAAUCACCUUUGGGACUUCUUGGCAGUUCCUAGAUAGCAAUAUAGCCAAGGAGCGUCACGUUUUUAAAUUUAUAACUUAACUCUGGGCGUUUAUAUUCAAAGUACUCGCCAUAAAUCUGACUUUCUUUACUUCAAUUUGCCCGCUCAUUGUAUCAACUUUCUUCCUCAAUUUAAAUAACACCUUUGUCCCCUUUUAAACCCUCCAGUCAUCUUUUUGUAAACAACUUUUGCUUUCAACCCACUUUUUUUGUUUCUUUCAUGAUCCAAAAUUGCCUAUAAUUUCAAACCUGAUUCAAAACAAGCUUAUCAGAAUCAGGUCAAUUGAAGACAGUUCAGCAAAGUAUCUAAUCUUCGGCCGGAAAAUGAGAGGAACUCAAUUAGUGGUUUUCAUCUCCGUUUGUUGCCAGAUGUUGGCUUCUUUUUCCUCUGCGUCCUUCGCCCAUGAGAUCAACUGCAGAGGGGGAGUGAGCACAGAACAGUUAGUGGCAGUGGCAUUCACAGUCGAGGACUUCUGCAAACUUCACCCCGACGGAUACCUGCAAGUCCAACUGGGGGGAAAUAAUUAUGGAAUGGAAGACAAGAGGGCAGCUGAAACUUCCGGGCUCCAGCUCAGAAAGUUGAAGAGAACUGGAAUGUACCACUAACGACACUAUAGUCACCAAAAUAUCAGUUUAAUUGAAUUGUAAAUGUCAUAUAUUAUGCGUCAAAAAAGUUUCAAGUUGAGAAGUUCUACAAUUUACCGACAUGAAAUAAAAUAAUCAUUAUAUGAUUACAGUAUUGUGCUAAAACAUCGAAACAUCUAAAGGUUAUCUGUAUAUUGGCGUAAUCAGCAAACUGAAGUUAUUGAACUCAAAGUUUUC